CCCCACAGGGAGCAGAGGGCACACAGGGGCCCUGCACCAACAGCAGGGCACUAAAGGGGGCUGAAGGACACAAGGAGCAGACAUUUGCAGCCUUCUGAAGUGCUCUGGUGUUACUCUGUGUGGGCAGAUGCCUGAAGCCUUCUGAUGAGGACAGGGCUAGCAUGAAGAAUCACAGGAACUGCUGUGUCAUUUGAUACUCAGCCUGGGGGAAAGGAGCUGGAAAGACUGGACUUGAACCUUGUUAGGUUUUGGGGUGCUGCUCCUCCAGGGAGUGUGGCCCUGGUCACCCUCCACCUCCAGGCAGCAGAGGAGACAAAGACCCUGCUCUUUGGGGUGGAGAGAGGGGAGAUGCUCUGCCAGCACAGCCUCAGCCCUGGGAAACUUCCUCUGCCACUUCUUCCCUGGCUCCUGUGUUUGCCAUUGAAUUCAAUUAUUUUAACAUUUAUUUAUUCAAUUAUUUUAACAUUUAUAUAUUCAAUUAUUUUAACAUUUAUACAUUAAAUUUAUAAAAACCUUUUAUUUGUUUAAUAUUAUGGUAUUUCAGCUAACGGUUCCUUUUUGGUUUUCCCCAGUGUUUCAAAAUCAAGCUUCAGAAAACUGUUAGGGUGAAGGAAGUUUCCUUUCUCUGUGUCCUUGUUUCUGUAGGCACUCUGCCUCCUUCAUAACAGAAGUAUUAUUUACCUGUCUUAAGAAUAUUUUAAGG